UACGUAGGGACCAAGCGUUGUCCGGAAUCAUUGGGCGUAAAGCGCGCGUAGGCGGCUUCGUAAGUCCGUUGUGAAAGUCAAAGGCUCAACCUUUGAAAGCCGAUGGAUACUGCGAAGCUAGAGUACGGAAGAGGCGAGUGGAAUUCCUGGUGUAGCGGUGGAAUGCGCAGAUAUCAGGAGGAACACCGAUGGCGAAGGCAGGUCUCUGGGCCAUUACUGACACUGAGAAGCGAAAGCAUGGGGAGCGAACAGG
rnacentral:rRNA from 1 species